CCCCUAGUGAGUGUUUUAUGUAGUGAACACUAUAUAGUGCGUAAAUAAGUGGACAUUUCUAACACAGCCAUAGUCACGCGCCACAUAACGACAUUUGGGAAGACAACAGACCGCGUAUACGACACUAGUCCCAUAAGAUUAUAACGGAGCUGAAAAAUUCCUUUCGUAUAGUGACGUCUUAAACGUCAUGAUGUCAUAAGGCGAUGUCUCACGUCUUUGUGGUGAUGCUGGUGUAAAGUGUUCCGCAUACGAUUGUACGCAGUAUAUAAUACUUGAUAAUGAUUCUAAACAACUAUGUUACUCGGCUAUGUAUUUAUCAUAGCGACACUGUAUUAUUUAUCGUUGCUUAUAGGCUAUACCAUAGUAUGCUAUAGCAUCUAGGUUUGUGUAAGUAGGCGAAAUGGCCUAACGACGCGUUUCUCGGAACAUACACCUGUUGUUAAGCGACGCAUGACUGUAUUGAUUCUGGCAGGGGGCACCAACAGCCCAACCUAUCACCUGUCAGCACAGUGGCUGCAGCACAAGAGGCUUCUGGGGAGGAGGCUUUGGUACGUUGCCACGAGCAGCCAGCUGCCGCUAAUCAUGGUAAUUUGGGACACUCUAGUGUGUCAGUGGGGUGUUCUGGUGCAGAUUCACCAGUAUGGGUGGGAUCCUUGCAUGUGCAGGUGUAGGAGAGUGCGUGUGUGUGUGUGCGUGUGUGUAUGAAUGGCUGUGAGUAACGGUAUGAGGGGACAUGAGUGUGUGUGUGUAUGAAUGGCUGUGAGUAACGGUAUGAGGGGACAUGAGUGUGUGUGUUUGUGAAUGGCUGUGAGUAACGGUAUGAGGGGACAUGAGUGUGUGUGUGUUUGUGAAUGGCUGUGAGUAACGGUA